UAUAAGCAAUUAUACGGCGAAACUGCGAAUGGCUCAUUAAAUCAGUUAUCGUUUACUUGAUAGACCCAUACUACUUGGAUAACCGUGGUAAUUCUAGAGCUAAUACAUGCGAAAAACCGCGACUUCGGAAGCGGUGUAUUUAUUAGAUUAAAGACCAAUGCCCUUCGGGGCUGACUGGUGAUUCAUGAUAACUUCACGAAUCGCACGGCCUUGCGCCGGCGAUGGCUCAUUCAAAUUUCUGCCCUAUCAACUUUCGACUUUAGUGUAGUGGACUAAAGUGGUUGCAACGGGUAACGGAGGGUUAGGGCUCGACCCCGGAGAAGGAGCCUGAGAGACGGCUACUACAUCCAAGGAAGGCAGCAGGCGCGCAAAUUACCCAAUCCCGACUCGGGGAGGUAGUGACAAUAAAUACUGAUACAGGGCUCUUUUGGGUCUUGUAAUUGGAAUGAGUACAAUUUAAAUCUCUUAACGAGGAACAAUUGGAGGGCAAGUCUGGUGCCAGCAGCCGCGGUAAUUCCAGCUCCAAUAGCGUAUAUUAAAGUUGUUGUGGUUAAAAAGCUCGUAGUUGAACCUGGGCCUCGCGCAGACCGGUCCGCCUCACCGCGUGCACUGGUCCUGCCGGGGCUUUCACUAGGGGAUUCGCAUGUCCUUCACUGGGCGUGUGCGGAACCUGGACUUUUACUGUGAAAAAAUUAGAGUGUUCAAAGCAGGCCUAUGCUCGAAUACAUUAGCAUGGAAUAAUAGAAUAGGACGUGUGGUUCUAUUUUGUUGGUUAUGGGACCGCCGUAAUGAUUAAUAGGGACAGUCGGGGGCAUCAGUAUUCAAUAGUCAGAGGUGAAAUUCUUGGAUUUAUUGAAGACUAACUACUGCGAAAGCAUUUGCCAAGGAUGUUUUCAUUAAUCAGGAACGAAAGUUAGGGGAUCGAAGACGAUCAGAUACCGUCGUAGUCUUAACUAUAAACUAUGCCGACUAGGGAUCGGGCGAUGUUACUUUUUGACUCGCUCGGCACCUUACGAGAAAUCAAAGUCUGUGGGUUCCUGGGGGAGUAUGGUGGCAACGCUGAAACUUAAAGAAAUUGACGGAAGGGCACCACCAGGAGUAAACCUUUGCUACAAUUAUAUUUUCGAAAUGCCGCAGUAGCUCUGCUCCAAAAAGCAGCCCGAAAGGGUGAGGUGGUUUCAGCCCGGGUCGCCUCGUGCGGUCCGAAUCUAAAUGCUAGUCCGCCUCGGCGGGCGACACGCUCAAAUUGCGGGGAACUCCUAAAGCUCCAGCCACCAAACCACUGUUCGAAAGGCAGUGGCGGCCAGGUUAAUUGCCUCGGGUACGGUAAAAGUACUGGAGAUGCUACAAUGGAUGAUCCGCAGCCAAGCCCCUAACGCCUCGAGCUAUGGGGAAGGUCCAGAGACUAGACGGGUGUGGGUCCUGCGUUCGCUUCGCGAGCAUGGGGCUUAAGGUAUAG
rnacentral:rRNA from 1 species